rnacentral:misc_RNA from 1 species
GAGCGUCAUUAUCACCCCUCAAGCUCAGCUUGGUGUUGGGGCCUGCCCGUCACAGGGCAGCCCCUAAAAGCAGUGGCGGUGCCAUCUGGCUCUAAGCGUAGUAAUACUCCUCGCUAUAGACGUUAGGUGGUGUCCUGCCAGAACCCCCCAUAUUUUUAAUGAUUGACCUCGGAUCAGGUAGGGAUACCCGCUGAACUUAA